AUGAAGAUUAGUGAAUGGAAAGAGAAGAUGUUAUCGGCUGGUGGAAAGGAAAUUUUGCUUAAGUCUGUUGUUCAAACUAUCCCAACAUAUGCAAUGUCCGUCUUUAAAAUUUCUAAAAAAAAUUGCAAAGGAAUCAUAGACGCGAUGUCGCAAUUCUGGUGGGGUGACGAGGACAAUCAGAAAAGGAUGCACUGGAUGGCGUGGUGGAAGAUGUGUGUUCCAAAAGACCAAGGUGGAAUGGGUUUCCGUGAUAUACACUGUUUUAACCUGGCUUUUGACCCAAAACUAAGCACCUCUCCCAUUGCAAGAAGAAUCAAUCUAGUUGGCAAAACCAAACCAGUAAUUUGA
rnacentral:rRNA from 1 species